GGGGUUGAAUAAGUGUGGGAGCAAUCUAUGACCAACUUUUAAAUUUUAAGUUCAAUUAUUAACUUCAGGCUAUUAUAAUGAUUGAAAUCAGUUUACUGAAUUAAUAUAGCCUAUUAAAGAAAAUAUCCUACCGAAUUUGUAUCUUAAGUAAAAUACUUGAUGUUAAAGAAUUAUCUUAAUACAAAAUAUGAGUCCACAAAAUCUGGCUUGGUCACAACAUCUCCAACGGUAAAGCUUGAACUAAUCCACAACGUUAACAAAUAUCCAAAAUAAAUUCCUGUUGGUUACACAAUUUGGAUAACUCAGAAGACCACAAAAAGAUAAUCACUUUAAUCAAUUGACUUUCUCUCUCCAUGCAUUAACCAAGUGGCGUGUAGAAGAACACUUAUCAUUUCCAACUUCCAAGACACGGUUUCUCAUAAACCAUAAUUACCUCUUCCUUGAAAAAUGUAAAUAUCAAAUCACCAAAAAGGUAAAUCUGCUAGUAUACCAUAUAUAUAUAUAUAUNNNNNNNNNNNNNNNNNNNNNNNNNNNNNNNNNNNNNNNNNNNNNNNNNNNNNNNNNNNNNNNNNNNNNNNNNNNNNNNNNNNNNNNNNNNNNNNNNNNNAAUAAACCAUUUACUUAGACAUGCAUAUAUAUCCACAUGUAAUCCAAGAAUAUCAUUUAACAAUAUGCAUGUGAAAAUGUGUAACAUAAAGUCAUGCAUAAAUCUAAUCUAAAGUUAAAAAUAACCUUUUAGAAUUUUUUUUAAAACAUUUUUUAUUUAAGACAUAUAACAAAAUAUAAUGCAUUAAUGCAAUAAUAUGUCCUAGAGCCUUUAAAUGAAAAAUCAAUUAUUAUGCAAUUGACCUUACAUUUGUCUCCUAGAAAGAAAAACUUCUUCAUCCACUGGGAGAUCACACAAUUGUUCUUUCAUCAACGAAUUCCUGAAACACCAUAAAAUAAUUUAGUAUAUGAACAUUUCAUCAUCAAAACUUAAGGAUGAAAUAUGACAAAGUCAUCAUUCUCCCCCUUUUUGAUGAUGACAUCCCAAAAUUGUUUAACUCUCAUAAACUCCCCCUAAAUAUAUGCAUAACACAAUUAGCUCCCCCUAAAUCCAUGCAAUAAUAUCAUUUCAGGGUACUGAAAUUUGAAAUUCAAUUUUCAGUAAAUUUGUUACCUGCAGUAAUUGUUAGUUCAUCAAAUAUCAAAAUAUUUACUGUAAAUAUAUCAAAUAUUUAAAAUCCCAAAUUAAACAUAAGUCUUUUGGUGAUGCACACCAAACCAAAAACCAACAUUUUUAAAAUCCGUCCAUAAUCAACCAAAAAUAAUCAUAAACAUUCAUAAAAACUCUCCCCCUUUGUCAUCAAACAAAAAGGAAGCAAUUCAUUCGUCGAGCUCUACCACGGCUGCACGCUGAGCUGCACGCUGAGUGAAUUAGGGGCGAUGAUUUGCACGAUAGACCUUCUUAGCAAUGCUUAAAUCCGCAGCAAAUUGGGGAGGCCUGGGAAUGACAGUUGCAGGUGGUAGAGGGACAUCUAGAAAUUCUCCUUGAUACUCGGCCAACCAAUUGUAAUGUACCCACUCCGGGAUAGUUGAAUGCUUACGCUGCAUAUUUAGUUUAGAUCCCACAUCAUUGAAACGAACAGAAAUGAACUCAGCCAACUCCCCUAUUUGAUUACUAACAAACUUAAGCUCCUGACUCAACUGAUAAGAAUUUCAAUUGAGACGUCGCUGCAUAACCUCUGCCAAAGCAGUAGUUUGCAGUUCAAAGCCUGCCUGUAAGUCAAUGAACUCAUCUUCAAGAUUAUUGUACAGUUUGUUAAUUUCAGGGGCACCCAAAGGUAAUUUUCCUUUUUCCAACAUAUUCAUUCGAUUAUGAAGGGCAGUCAUUUCAAGUUGCAUCUUUUUCUGAUUACUAAGAAUUACUUUCAACAUGUCUACAAUUUCAGAAGAAGAGGAAGCGGGGGGCUGAACAGGAGAGGAUGGAAUAGAGAUUGGAGGAGCAGGAUUUUCAGAAGUGACACGAACAAACAUACCAUCAAGUAAACUAAUAUGCGACAUUUUCAGAGAACUGACACUGAUAGAAUCAGUAACUGAAACAGAGUUUUCAUCUUCAAAAGAAAUUUUAAAAUGUUUAAACAAGGUAGUGAGAGUAGCACUAUAAGGCAAACAAGUCUUGAUUUUUCGCAAACAUGUAGUUAUGUGAUGAAGCAUCAGUUGAGACAGAUUAAAAGAAACACCUCUUAAAAUCAGAGCAACAAUAAUCAAAUCCUGAUAGGUAAAAUCUGCUCCUCCACCUAAACGAGGCAACAGAUUGUAUCUAACAAGAUGAUGGAGAACACAAGAGAUAGGAGAUACAUCCACUAUUUUAGGAGUAAAAACAUCAUUCAAUGAAUUGUUGUUCAUGACGAUUUGUAAAUGUUCCAGAGGAGUGAAUGGAAAAUGAACAACACCUUUCUUUGUAAAAGGACACACACCAAAAAAUGGAAUUUUCAAAAUACUACCAAAAUUCACGACAGUAAAAUAUAACAAUUUUCCUUUGACAAAAGUGGUAUAAAAAUCACCAUGACAUUCUAGAUUUGUGUAAAAUUGUUGAACAAGUCUAGGAUAUGCCACAGAAGGAGGAAAAAGCAUGGAAGAUAUAUCACAAGAUUCAAAUAACAGUUUGAGAGGAGAUUGCUGAAAACAGAUCUGAUCAACAGAUUUUUCAUAGACAAAUUGUUUAGGAAAAAUGACUGUUUUAAAGCGUACCUCGUAUGCAUUACUGCGAAAAUAGUUUUCAGGCAGAUCAGAGGAAAAGUUAUGGCUUACCGAAAUAGGUAGGGGUGUAACCUCCGGCUUGAAAGAUGGAGUAGUUGUCUGACGUCGCCAAGAGGGUCCAGUGGAUUUAGGCAGAGAGGGACUGAAAGUGGACUCGUCAGAAGACGAAGAGUCCACGUACUCUAUCUUUGAAGACACAACCUUCUUCAGUUUAUUUUUCUAGCGAGAUGGUCCGGCAGUAGAUAGAGGUGGAACCGUCGUCUGAUCAUCAUCAAAAUCGAUCAAUGACCUCUUACGCGUACGAGUCCUCAUGAUACCAAAAUAAGAUUAGAGAAACAAAAAUAAUGGAAAGAAAUUGAGGCAGAAGAGUUUUAGGAGAAUGAAAGGAAAUUAGAUAGAAAUAUAUAUAAAAGACUCUUCUGAAUACUUACGUCUCCCGAGACUCCCCAGCCGACUUGGCGUUUCAACUUUCAAAAACCAUUAUGAGAUAUGCAUGUACGCACACGGCUCCCUAGAAACCCUUUUGUUGUCCGGUCUUUUCGGUUUUCAAAACUAAUUAUGAUAUACGCCUUGAUUCUCGCGUCCAUGAAUUAAGUGACCAACCGAAAACAUAAUUAUCCUAAUUAACAAUAGUUAAUAUGAUAUACAUGCAAUACUAGGAUAACACUAAUACAGAUAUUUAAAAAUCAUGCAGUACACAUCCCAAGUUCUCUUCGCAGUAUGCAAAACCUAUCUUCACUUAAUGGUUUAGUGAAAAUAUCUGCAAUUUGAUUUUCAUUUGGAAUAAAAAUCAAGUUAAUUAAUCCUUUUGAAACAUUGUCUCUUAAAAAAUGAUCCCUAACUUCUAUAUGCUUUGUACGUGAAUGUAACACAGGAUUUUUAGAUAUAUCUAUAGCACUAGAAUUAUCAUAAUAAAUAGGCACACAAUCACAUAAUAUAUCAAAAUCACAAAGAGUUUGUCGCAUCCAUAAUAUCUGAGAGCAACAACUUCCUGCAGCUAGGUAUUCACGCUCAGUAGUUGAAAGAGCCACUGAGGUUUGCUUUUUACUAUGCCAUGAUACAAGACUUUGUCCCAAGAAAGUACAAGCACCACUCGUACUUUUUCUAUCAAUUUGACAUCCUGCAUAGUCAGCAUCUGAAUAACCUAUUAGUUCAAAGUGAUUGGAAAUUGGAUAGAAUAACCCUAAAUUAAUAGUACCACUUAAAUAUUUCAAAAUUCUUUUAACAGCAUUUAAGUGUGAUUCUUUGGGUUUUGCCUGAAAUCUUGCACAUAGACAAAUAUUAUACAUUAUGUCAGGUCUAGAAGCAGUUAAGUAUAACAAAUAUCCAAUCAUACCUCGAUAUUUUGUUAUAUCAACAUCAAUACCUUUGUCAUCAGUGGUGAGAUUUAUUGACGUGCUCAUAGGUGUACCUUUUGAGUUAGAUCCUUCAAAACCAAAUCGCUUGAGUAAUUCUUUUGUGUAUUUGGUUUGAUGAAUGUAAAUUUCUUCCUUCGUUUGCUUAAUUUGAAGUCCCAAAAAGUAGUUCACCCAUUAAGCUCAUAUCAAAUUCUUUAUGCAUGCACUUAGAAAACCACUCACAAAGAUGAUCAUUAGUAGCACCAAAAAUUAUAUCAUCUACAUAUAUUUGAACAAUAAUGAUAUCUAUAUUUUUAUGCUUAAUAAAUAAUGUAGAAUCUAUUUUACCUCUAAUGAAUCCAUUUGAUAAGAGAUACUUACUUAACCUGUCGUACUACGCUCGUGGAGCUUGUUUCAAGCCAUAAAGAGCUUUCUUUAACUUGUAGACAUGAUUAGGAUACUUUUCAUGCUCGAAUCCAGGAGGUUGCUUUACAUACACCUCUUCAUUAACGUAUUCGUUGAAGAAAGCACUAUUUACGUCCAUUUGAUAUAGUUUAAACUUUUUGUAGCAUGCAAACGCCAACAAAAUUCAGAUUGAUUCUAACCUAGCCACAGGUGCAUAGGUUUCUUCAUAGUCGAUUCCCUCUUGUUGGCUAUACCCUUGGGCUACUAGCCUUGCUUUGUUACGAGUAAUUGUUCCAUGCUCAUCAAGCUUGUUUUUGAAUACCCAUUUUGUACCAAUGAUGGAAGCAUCUUUUGGAGGAGGCAUGAGUUCCCAUACUUGGCAUCUCUCAAAUUGUUGAAGUUCUUCUUGCAUUGCUAAUAACCAAUUUUCAUCAAGGACUGCAUCCUUUGCAUUCUUUGGCUCAACCUGUGACAAAAAUGUAGAGAAUGCACAAUGAUUUUGUAAACCUCUUCGUGUGGUUACACCUUUGUUGAUAUCUCCAAUGAUAUUCUCCAGAGGAUGAUUCUUGACAUAUCUAGCUGUUUUUGGCAUUUGAAUAUCAUGUAAAACUUCCUCUUGAUCAUGAGACUCAUCUUCAGCAUCCUGCAAAUUUUCAGGUUCACGUUCCUGCUGGUUGUCCAUUUCAGUUUCCUGAAACUGCUCAUUUGGUCUCCCGUUUUGUUCUUUUCGGUUUGCUGGAAUUCUGACUGUCUCUAAAUUUCCUGCAUCAUCUUCACUUUCUUUUGGCAGAUCAUUGUUAGUUUCAUUGAAAGUGAUAUGAACAGAUUCUUCUACACAUGUCUUUUUAAUAUUAAAGAUACAAUAAGCCUUACUAUUUUGAGAAUAACCAAUAAAAAUUCCUUUGUAUGACUUAGCAUCAAAUUUUCCCAAAUUAUCACUUGUAUUUAAAAUGAAACAUUUCGAACCAAAAACUUUGAAAUAACUUAUAUUUGGAAUUUUAUUAUUUAGAAGCUCAUAAGGUGUUUUCAAAAUAAUAGGACGAAUAAGAACUCUAUUUAAAACAUAACAUGAUGUACUUACUGCUUCGGCCCAAAAUUUCUUUGGAAGCUUACUUCCUUGUAGUAGAUUUCUUGCGGUCUCUUGUAGAGUCCUAUUCUUUCUUUCCACCACUCCGUUUUGUUAAGGAGUCCUUGGAGCUGUUUUCCCAGUUGACAAGGAAUACAUAUUCCUUUUUUUUUCAAACCUGAUUCUUGGCAAUCCUUUGACAAGAUUCUUUGAGGAUAGUUUCUUGAUUAAGUCCAUGUGAACAUGUCCCAUCCUUUUAUGCCAUAAGUAAGCUUCAUCUUGUACAGAUGUAAGACAUAGCUCUUCAUCCUGUUGCUCAAAAUCAAGAGUGUAUAUAUUUCAUUCUCUUUGUGCAACUAGAGUAGUAUUGUUAAUACCAUGAAUUAUUAUGCAUUUAUCUUUUUCAAAGUUAAUUUGAUGACCAUUAUCCAUUAAUUGGUUAAUACUAAUUAAAUUGAAUUCAAGGCCAUUAACAAGAUGCACAUUAUUUAUACUUACCUUGCCAUACCAAUUUUACCUUUUCCAAUUAUCUCACAGGUUUUGUUGUCUCCAAAAGUGAUCGUUCCAUUCUUCUUCUUGAUAUUUAGUUCUACGAAUUUUGACUUAUCACCUGUCAUGUGCCGAGAACGUCCGCUAUCAAGAAUCCAUUUUUGAGAUGGAACUCUUGCCUUUAAGCAUACUUGUCAAGAAAGAAUAAUUUAUCCUUUUGGUACCCAUAUCUUUUUGGGUCCACUUAUGUUAAUAGCAAGCAAAUCAUUAUUUUUAAUCCAUACCUUUUUAACCUUAUUUCGUUUCUUAAAACAAUUUAUAUCUAAAUGAACUUUAAUACCACAAUGCUUAUAAGUCGUGAAAGGAGAGCAAUAAUUUAAACUAAAUUGUGACUUUGAUUUUAGCAUUUUUAUAUUACUCUUUUUAUGCAUAGGGUCAUAACCAAUUCCUUGUCUUUUAAAACUAGGUCUUUGUUUACCUAAUAUAACAUUCAAAUUUUCUUCACCUUGGACAAAUUUAGCAAGAGAUAAUUUUAAUGAAGCUAUUUCUUUUUUAAGCUCGUUUUCAAGAAAGGUUUAUCAGGAGAUUUAUCACUAAAUGCAUCAAUACAUACAUCUCUCAUUUUUAGCUCAUUAGUCAACUUUUGGACUUCAUUAUUCAAGAAAUUUACCUUAUUGAAAAGUAUUUUGUUAUAGUUGUCUAAAUAAUCAAUUUUAGCAAUCAAAACCUUUUCUUCUUUACAUGUAGAUUCCUUUUCAAUUUCUUUCUUUUCAUCUAUUAGUGAAUCCACUUCAUUCAUUAAAGUAUUAACUAAAUCUCUUAAGCAUGCAUUCUUUUCUUUUAACUUCUUAUUUUCUUGUUCUAAUAGGUUCAUUUCAUUAAAAGAUACCUGAUUAGAUUCACCUUCAAUUCCCACGAAGCAUACUUGUGCUAUCUCAUCUUUAGCAUCGAUCUCCACUUCGGAUUCCACAUCACUCCAAGUCACAAGGGCUUUGUUCUUCUUGUUGUCUUUGUAGUUUGUCUUCCCUUUGUUCUUCAAUUGAAAACAAUCUUUCUUGAAAUGACCAGGACGUCCACAUUCAAAGCAUGUCUCUUCAGUUUGCUUUCCUUUGGACUUAUUUGAGUUAAAAGUAUUUCUGCUCUUGUUCUUCCUUUGUAGUAGUCCUUUGAGUCUUCUUGACAUCAUGGCUAUUUCUUCGUCUGAGUCAUCUUCUAGCUCCUCUUCAUUAUCUAUAGUAAGAGCUAAGACCUUUCUUCGAGGAGUUUCCUCCUCAUCAUCAUAUAUCUUUAACUGAUGUUCAUAUUCUUCUAAUUCACCAAACAAAGUUAAAGUAUCCAUGGAAGAAAUAGUUGCAGAAUCUUGAAGAGUAGUGAUUUUAAACGCAAACCUUUUGGACAUAGCCCGAAGCAACUUACGGUUGAUCUCACUUUGAGGAAUAGUCUUGUCCGGUAAUUUCAAGGAAUUUAUAAGGACUAGAAAUCUUGCUUGAGCUAGCUUAAUGGUUUCAUCUUUUUCGAGCUUGAAAAUUUCAUAAUCGUGCAUAAGCAUGCUUAGCUUGACAUCUCGUACCUUGGAAGUACCUUCAUGACUUACCACAAGAGUAUCCCAAAUUUCUUUAGCUGUGUUGCAUGAGGAAACUUUGUCUAUCUCGGAUUGAACCAUGCCGCUGAGAAGAGUGUUCAUUGCCUUUGAAUCAUAUGAGACCAUGUAGAUUUCGGUUGCAUCCAUUUCUAGUAGGAUCUUUGGUGUCCCAUCAUCUCUUCGUGGAAUAACUGGUCCGUUCUCCACAACCCACCAUUCCCAAGGAUCUCUUUUAAGAUAGAUCCUCAUUCUGAACUUCCAGAAAUUGUAAUUUUCCGUUCCAAACAGCAAAGGAGGUCUAUUGGUUGAUUGACCUUUUUGAUUGUUGUUCCCGAACUGUGCCAUGUCAGAAUCUUUCCCUACAAGUCACCUUUAAGACCAAGAUAAGUAGAGCCAAGCUUUGAUACCAAAUGAAAUUUAUCUAAGCACACUUAGAAGGGGGGUUGAAUAAGUGUGGGAGCAAUCUAUGACCAACUUUUAAAUUUUAAGUUAAAUUAUUAACUUCAAGCUAUUAUAAUGAUUGAAAUCAGUUUACUGAAUUAAUAUAGCCUAUUAAAAAAAAUAUCCUACUGAAUUUGUAUCUUAAGUAAAAUACUUGAUGUUAAAGAAUUAUCUUAAUAUAAUAUAAGUAUUCAAAUUUUAAUUAUUAAGAUAAUUAAACUAGUUAAUGUGAUUUUAAAGUAAAGCAAAUAAUAAAAUCAACACCAAAAAUUUUUACAUGGUUCAGCUAUUACCCUCUAUAAUAUUAGCCUAGUCCACGUCCAAUACCAACUAUUAUUAGAGACUCGCUUUAUUUAUUUCUUUAUAAAUAAAUACAGAUUACAAAACAGAUUCUAACAAAAAUUAAUUAACAAUUAAUUUCCCUUGAGCUCUCUUGCUCCUUGUGCACCUAUGCUCUCUUCAAGCACCUUUGCUUCCUUGAACCUGUUUGUAACCCUUUUCUCUAAUCCACUAGGAUUAAAACCUUUAGACUACACUUAGUCUAAAACAGAAAAUUCAAUACAAUAUAGAGGUCUAUGAUCAAUGCAAGGAUAAUCAAUUUAACAAUUAAAGGCUCAACUAUAUGCAAUGAUCAACUAGCACAUAAUAGAUAAACAAUUAAUUUCUUACCGAAUACCAGCUCAAAUAAUACCAGAAAAUUAAUUGCUUAGCUUCUCAAAAGUUUGCACUUGACAAAAUCAGAUUGCUCGAUAAUACCAGUAAUAAGUGCAAGUAGUAAUUUCGUGAGUUGUGUGUCUUUUCAAAUAUUAGAAUACUCUUUUUAUAGCCAACCACAUAUUACCGUUAAUAAAGAGUAACAAAAUAUGAGUCCACAAAAUCUGGCUUGGUCACAACAUCUCCAACGGUAAAGCUUGAACUAAUCCACAACGUUAACAAAUAUCCAAAAUAAAUUCCUAUUGGUUACACAAUUUGGAUAACUCAGAAGACCACAAAAAGAUAAUCACUUUAAUCAAUUGACUUUCUCUCUCCAUGCAUUAACCAAGUGGCGUGUAGAAGAACACUUAUCAUUUCCAACUUCCAAGAAACGGUUUCUCAUAAACCAUAAUUACCUCUUCCUUGAAAAAUGUAAAUAUCAAAUCACCAAAAAGGUAAAUCUGCUAGUAUACCAUAUAUAUAUAUAUAUAUAUAUAUAUAUAUAUAUAUAUAUAUAUCAAGCCCGAAUAAACCAUUUACUUAGACAUGCAUAUAUAUCCACAUGUAAUCCAAGAAUAUCAUUUAACAAUAUGCAUGUGAAAAUGUGUAACAUAAAGUCAUGCAUAAAUCUAAUCUCAAGUUAAAAAUAACCUUUUAGAAUUUUUUUUAAAACAUUUUUCAUUUAAGACAUAUAACAAAAUAUAAUGCAUUAAUGCAAUAAUAUGUUCUAGAGCCUUUAAAUGAAAAAUCAAUUAUUAUGCAAUUGACCUUACAUUUGUCUCCUAGAAAGAAAAACUUCUUCAUCCACUAGGAGAUCUCACAAUUGUUCUUUCAUCAACGAAUUCCGGAAACACCAUAAAAUAAUUUAGUAUAUGAACAUUUCAUCAUCAAAACUUAAGGAUGGAAUAUGACAAAGUCAUCAUUGAUCUCACUUGAUUGAUUCUUUAUAUCAUUGUCAUCAUCCUCGUGCUUAUAUUGUAGUAAAAGUCAUCUUUGGCCCGUAAUGCAAAGAUAAACUGUUGAUUGAUAUGAUUAUGACCAGGAAUUGUGUAUUGGUAUAAUUACGACCUUUAAUGUUACAGAUAAAGGUUUGUGGUGAAAUUCCUCUUUGGCCCGUAGUGCAUAGAUGAACAGGUGUUUGACGUGAUCAUGAUCACUGGUGAUGCAAACGAUUAUCUUUGGCCCGUAGUGCAUAGAAAUUCGUUGAUUAAAAAUAAUUAUUGAUUGGUGUUACAUGGAUAAAAUAUUGAUGAUGAACUUUUAAAUCAUAGAAGAUAGUAGACAUCAUACUCUACUUGACUCUUCUAAUGGAUUGUUGUUUUCGCUGCACUUUUAAAUCAUAAAACUUGUUGUCUAUUGUAUUCUAUCAUAUUUUUCCCUGUUGAGGACUAAGGAUAAUUUCUUCGACAUUAUCUUAGUCAUAAUAUUUUUUACUGAGCUAGUUGAACUCACCCUUUUCCUUUUUGGUUCUAUUGUUCUUCUCAAAAGGCGAGAAUGUAGCUGAGACUAGUCGGGGAGUGGAGUAAUGGUCCAAGAUGGUUAUUAUUGUAAUCCUCACUAUUUUGUAAAAUAGUGUGACAAUAAUUGUAAUGAAGAUUUUAUUUGAGUUUUAAUAUUGUCUACAAGAUAAUAUUUGUAUUGAAACUCACAGCUUAUGUUUUGUCAUAUGUUACACGAAAAAUAAUAAUUGUAUAAAUAAAGUUUGUAUUUGAAUUCUAUACCAUGUAUUUGGCGACUCAGAAUGGGUCGUGUAAACCUAUUUUAAGGGCGUCACAGUUAGUAUACGAGUUUCGAGUUUGCAGAAGUAUUUCCCUGUAUUUCGGUCAGACAACUGAUAAGAAUAAUAUAUAUAUAUAUAUAUGGGAAAUGAUCCAUAGCAAGUAUUUGCUAUGGAGAAAAACUGGGCAAAUAGCAUCAUAUCCGUCCAUUCUAUAAAUCAAAGGCACAGAUUAAAAAAUAACUCAGCCCUUACGCCAGUUCGUCUAGCAUAAGCUGGUAUGUGAGAGAGGAAAUUUUUUUCCAGAAGGGCUAUUAACAAAAUCUCUAUUAUUAUUCACAGAAAUAUUAUAUAGGAGUGAUAUAUAAGUUAGUGGUAUAAAGAGCAUUAUUAUAUUGAAGAAAAAAAAAAGCUUCCAGUACUGCAAGAAGAAGAAAAAAAGCAAAAGGACAAAGGAGAGAGAGAGAGGAAGGGAGGAGUUGUGAUGACUAAAAUACUAAUAUGAUUGGUUGUAAUUGUUGGGUCGAAGCCAUUCACUCUGUUCUGGCUAUCACCAUCAUUGUUAAUAUGUACCGCUUCACUUACUACAAGUCCUUAUCUAUCUCUAUACAAUUACAAACCCUCUGUCUUUGAUCCCUCUCAAAUCUUUAAUAACAUUGUUAUUCUCUCUCAUUUGCCUCCUUGGUUUCUUUGAAAAGUUGAAAAAAAAACCUACAAUUAGCGUUAAAAAUCCAAUCUUUUGUUGUGAUCUAUGUUCUUUGUUCAUUUCACAUUUGGGUAUUUGUUUUUGAGUUCUAAAGAUGACUGUCGAGGAAAUUAGAGGAAGUUCUGGGAGUGAUUUUGAUGAUUUUCCAAAGGGUAUGCGAGUUCUUGCUGUUGAUGAUGACCCCACUUGUUUGAAGUUAUUGGACGGUCUGCUCCGGAAAUGCCAGUAUCAUGGUUAGAUUUUUCUCUGUUUCCCAAUUUCUUUGCUAGCACUACUCAUUUUAUGUCUAGUUAGUAGUUACUCUGAAUUGGGGUUAAUUUCAAGUCGCAGGGAGUGUUUUAGGAAAACACUCUGAAAUCGCAUUCUAGAGAUAUUGAGAUAGAGCUACGCUACUUCGUCUAGCGGAUAUGAGAGGUCUUUUUCAGCUUACGCUACUUCGUUUGGCGUAAGGGCUGAGUUAUUUUUUAAUCUGCACUCUUGAUUUAUAGAAUGGACGGAUAUGAUGCUAUUUGCCCAAUUUUUCUCUAUAGCAAAUACUUGCUAUGGAUCAUUUCUCAUAUAUAUAUAUAUAUAUAUAUAUAUAUAUAUAUAUAUAUNNNNNNNNNNNNNNNNNNNNNNNNNNNNNNNNNNNNNNNNNNNNNNNNNNNNNNNNNNNNNNNNNNNNNNNNNNNNNNNNNNNNNNNNNNNNNNNNNNNNUCCACUAGUAAUUCUAGCGGACUUUAUUAAUCAAAUUAUUUGCCACUUUUGCCCCCCUUUACUACCAAAACAAAUCAGAUCUUAUGCAUCCGCUAGUUGUGCUGCUCAGAGUUUCUCGCAAUGCUUCGUCUCUCUGCCUUCAACUCUCAUCUCGUUUCUUAAUUGCUUCAUGUGCUAAAAUCUUCAGUCGAUUAAAAGACACUUGCAAAUCAGAUUUCGAAAUCUCUGCCGCCUCGCGCGCUUGUCGCUCGCGACCGAGUUCUGCAAGAACCUCUCGAAACCUCUCCACGGACACAUCCUCCAAUGACGUACUAGUAAUAGCAAUUGGCGCCGGAUCUUCCUCUUCGACAUCGCUCAAUACGGCGUCGUUGUCUUCGUCACCGGCGGUCGCCAUUAUAUAUAUUUGUAAUUUAAACACAAAAAAAAAAAUUAAUCUACUGUAACCUAUCAAUUGAACGCACUGUGAAAAAAUAUGUUACAAACAAAAAUUGGACAUGCACUAAAACGCCAGGCCUUGUUUGUUAUAAAGCAGAAACCCUAGAAUUUGAUUCCGGAGGUAGUGGAUAACGAUGGAAGAUUGAAUUUUUAUAGGGUAAGUUGAUGAUCAAGCUCGAAAAAGAACACGGAGACUAGAUUACAAGUAAGCAAAAUUGGUGAAUUUACUUGAGAGAGAGAGAGAGAGAGAUCGUACCUUGAUUUGAGAAGUCCAAUCGUGAAGAAGAAAAUGACGAAUGAUAGCUACUUACCGACCACUCUGUUUUCCUUUCUCUUCUCGUUUGUGGAAAAGGAUACAACUUGU
rnacentral:lncRNA from 1 species